UUAUGUGGUUGACAUGUGGCAUGCAUCUGUGGUUUUCUUGAAGCAUGUUUUGAAAGCUUGCAGAUUUAUUUCUUUAUAGCAUGUUUCAAAAUAUGAGGGUAAUUUUGCAGCGAAUUUUCUUUUUCUCUGUCCCAUUGAUUCAGAAUGCUACAAAUGUAAGGGUAAUUCUGCUUCUACUAAUAUGUGUAUGUUGUUAAUGUUUGAUGUGAGCAAGGAAAAUUGGGUGCAGAGGUGAUUGUCUGAUCUUUGUGCAUGUGCUGAGAUGCUCCAUUGAAGUUGUUCUUUAAUGAAAUCUUGUUGUAGUUAAAUUUGCAUUAGAAAAACAUAGAAGUGUAUGUAGAGAUGCACAUGUACAAUAGCUGACCAGUGACCACGAUAGCUAACCAAUUUUUUUCAAUGUACAAAUGGCUCAGUGAUAGCAAUCAGCAGCCCAUGGUUAGUUGCAUAGGAAAAGCUAGGGUUUAGAGUUAGUGGAUUCCAUGGUUGGUUGCAGCCUACAGGUCUAGGAAAGAAGAGGUCAAGUCUUGGCGACCUUUUAUCUGACGCCCCA